rnacentral:SRP_RNA from 1 species
UGCAGCCGGGGAGUUAGCGGUGCCCUGUACCUACAAUCCGCUCUAGUAGGGGUGAUGUCCGGUCCCGGGUCUUUUCUUGUAGAGCAGCCCUUUAUAAGUGAUGUUGAUGUCUGGGUCUUACGCAAUGGGAAUUUAUGAACCGUGUCAGGUCAGGAAUGGAGCAGCACUAAGUAAAACCUUCCAUGUGCCGUGAGGAAGCCUGGAUUGAGUUAACUGUAGAGGUAACGUCUGUGAGGGAGAUUCA